GACGAACGCUGGCGGCGUGCUUAACACAUGCAAGUCGAACGGAAAGGCCCUGCUUUUGUGGGGUGCUCGAGUGGCGAACGGGUGAGUAACACGUGAGUAACCUGCCCUUGACUUUGGGAUAACUUCAGGAAACUGGGGCUAAUACCGGAUAGGAGCUCCUGCUGCAUGGUGGGGGUUGGAAAGUUUCGGCGGUUGGGGAUGGACUCGCGGCUUAUCAGCUUGUUGGUGGGGUAGUGGCUUACCAAGGCUUUGACGGGUAGCCGGCCUGAGAGGGUGACCGGCCACAGUGGGACUGAGAUACGGCCCAGACUCCUACGGGAGGCAGCAGUGGGGAAUAUUGCACAAUGGGCGGAAGCAUGAUGCAGCAACGCCGCGUGCGGGAUGACGGCCUUCGGGUUGUAAACCGCUUUCGCCUGUGACGAAGCGUGAGUGACGGUAAUGGGUAAAGAAGCACCGGCUAACUACGUG
rnacentral:rRNA from 1 species